ACGAACGUUGGCGGCGUGCUUAAUACAUGCAAGUCAACUGAAGCACCGGUAGUAAUACUGGUGUGGAGGUGGCGCACGGGUGAGUAACACGUAGGUAAUCUGCCUUCAGGUCUGACAUGACCCCGAGAAAUCGGGGCUAAUAGCAGAUGAUGCAGCGGCUUGACAUCAAGACAGUUGUUAAAGCUUCGGCGCCUGAAGAUGAGCCUGCGUCUGAUUAGCUAGUUGGCGGAGUAAUGGCCCACCAAGGCUACGAUCAGUAACUGGUCUGAGAGGAUGAUCAGUCACACUGGAACUGAGACACGGUCCAGACUCCUACGGGAGGCAGCAGUAAGGAAUAUUGCUCAAUGGGAGAAAUCCUGAAGCAGCAACGCCGCGUGAGGGAUGAAGGGCUUUUGCUCGUAAACCUCUGUAGUGAGGGAAAAAAUUUCCACUCUGUGGAAUAUGAUGGUACCUCAAAAGUAAGCCCCGGCUAACUACGUG
rnacentral:rRNA from 1 species